rnacentral:rRNA from 1 species
UACGUAGGGUGCAAGCGUUAAUCGGAAUUACUGGGCGUAAAGCGUGCGUAGGCGGUUGCGCAAGACAGGUGUGAAAUCCCCGGGCUUAACCUGGGAAUUGCACUUGUGACUGUGCGGCUUGAGUGCGGCAGAGGGGGAUGGAAUUCCGCGUGUAGCAGUGAAAUGCGUAGAUAUGCGGAGGAACACCGAUGGCGAAGGCAGUCCCCUGGGCCUGCACUGACGCUCAUGCACGAAAGCGUGGGGAGCAAACAGG